UACGUAGGGUGCAAGCGUUGUCCGGAAUUAUUGGGCGUAAAGAGCUCGUAGGCGGUCUGUCACGUCGGCUGUGAAAACCCGAGGCUCAACCUCGGGCCUGCAGUCGAUACGGGCAGACUAGAGUUCGGUAGGGGAGACUGGAAUUCCUGGUGUAGCGGUGAAAUGCGCAGGAUAUCAGGAGGAACACCGGUGGCGAAGGCGGUCUCGUGG
rnacentral:rRNA from 1 species